GCGUGGUUGGGAUAGGCCGGAGCCCACGCGUGUCCGUCUGUCACUGCGUCUUUCACUUCCAUACAUUAAGCCCCCUCCACCCGCAUAGGCCCCAGCUCUGCGGUUGGUCGCUCCCGCGUCUGCCACCUCCAGGACCCAGAGCCGCCAAAGCAGCCUCCCGGCAAGCCUUGACUUCCCGGAUGGGGCCAUGCUUUUCUUCUAGGACAAUCAGAGCUCCUCCCCUCCCAGCGAUCUUUCUAGGAGGCCACCUCCAGAGAUUUCGAGGCGAUUUCCUCCCCCGCCGCCUUACUAAACUGGUAACUCCUCUCACCAGAAACACCGCGGGGGAAUCACAAGCUGAAUGUUUAGCGAGGGACCACCACCACUACCACCGUAAAAAACACAACUCAAUAUCCCUCUACAUGUCAUCCUCUGGGCCAGGGAAUACCCUCCCCCCCCCACCCCAGACUUGAAGAGAAACUGUGUUCUAUGUGACAUCUCCACUUGUAUGUGUGCAGAAUUUCCUACUGCCAGAAGCUUACAAGUAGACAAGAACUUUUUCUACCUUCUGAGACCAUGAGGCCAUGCCUGAACCAGCCAUUUAAAGACUUUGCAUGGAUAACUCUUCUGCCAGGUUAACUCUUUAGUGAAUAAAACAUUUUGUGCAUAUUUAUGCAAAAUUCAA